rnacentral:rRNA from 1 species
GACGAACGCUGGCGGCGUGCUUAACACAUGCAAGUCGAACGCUGAAGCUCAGCUUUUGUUGGGUGGAUGAGUGGCGAACGGGUGAGUAACACGUGAGUAACCUGCCCCCUUCUUUGGGAUAACGCCCGGAAACGGGUGCUAAUACUGGAUAUUCACUGGUCUUCGCAUGGGGGUUGGUGGAAAGGGUUUUUCUGGUGGGGGAUGGGCUCGCGGCCUAUCAGCUUGUUGGUGGGGUGAUGGCCUACCAAGGCUUUGACGGGUAGCCGGCCUGAGAGGGUGACCGGUCACAUUGGGACUGAGAUACGGCCCAGACUCCUACGGGAGGCGGCAGUGGGGAAUAUUGCACAAUGGGCGCAAGCCUGAUGCAGCGACGCCGCGUGAGGGAUGGAGGCCUUCGGGUUGUGAACCUCUUUCGCUCAUGGCCAAGCCGCAACAAUGGUUGUGGUGAGGGUAGUGGGUAAAGAAGCGCCGGCUAACUACGUG